GGCACAGCAGAUGGCUUGCAUCAAAGGGUAAAAGACUUUUAGCUUUACAACGUACAACUUGUCUUCAAAUCUUUUACUCUGGUUUCUAUCUUCUUUUAGCUGCUUUAAAUGUUGAGCUUUCUUCCCCACAAUAAUGUCUUUUCACUUUCACGUAAGUGGAGAUUGCUACUUCUACUCUGAGCUUAGACUACGUUUGAUAGCGCAAAAUAUAAUCAAAAUUUUUAUUCAAUUUUAAUAGAAAAAUUCAUUGUAUU
rnacentral:misc_RNA from 1 species